UUUAUGGAGAGUUUGAUCCUGGCUCAGGAUGAACGCUGGCGGCGUGCCUAAUACAUGCAAGUCGAGCGAACGGACGAGAAGCUUGCUUCUCUGAUGUUAGCGGCGGACGGGUGAGUAACACGUGGAUAACCUACCUAUAAGACUGGUAUAACUUCGGGAAACCGGAGCUAAUACCGGAUAAUAUUUUGAACCGCAUGGUUCAAAAGUGAAAGACGGUCUUGCUGUCACUUAUAGAUGGAUCCGCGCUGCAUUAGCUAGUUGGUAAGGUAACGGCUUACCAAGGCAACGAUGCAUAGCCGACCUGAGAGGGUGAUCGGCCACACUGGAACUGAGACACGGUCCAGACUCCUACGGGAGGCAGCAGUAGGGAAUCUUCCGCAAUGGGCGAAAGCCUGACGGAGCAACGCCGCGUGAGUGAUGAAGGUCUUCGGAUCGUAAAACUCUGUUAUUAGGGAAGAACAUAUGUGUAAGUAACUGUGCACAUCUUGACGGUACCUAAUCAGAAAGCCACGGCUAACUACGUGCCAGCAGCCGCGGUAAUACGUAGGUGGCAAGCGUUAUCCGGAAUUAUUGGGCGUAAAGCGCGCGUAGGCGGUUUUUUAAGUCUGAUGUGAAAGCCCACGGCUCAACCGUGGAGGGUCAUUGGAAACUGGAAAACUUGAGUGCAGAAGAGGAAAGUGGAAUUCCAUGUGUAGCGGUGAAAUGCGCAGAGAUAUGGAGGAACACCAGUGGCGAAGGCGACUUUCUGGUCUGUAACUGACGCUGAUGUGCGAAAGCGUGGGGAUCAAACAGGAUUAGAUACCCUGGUAGUCCACGCCGUAAACGAUGAGUGCUAAGUGUUAGGGGGUUUCCGCCCCUUAGUGCUGCAGCUAACGCAUUAAGCACUCCGCCUGGGGAGUACGACCGCAAGGUUGAAACUCAAAGGAAUUGACGGGGACCCGCACAAGCGGUGGAGCAUGUGGUUUAAUUCGAAGCAACGCGAAGAACCUUACCAAAUCUUGACAUCCUU
rnacentral:rRNA from 1 species